rnacentral:rRNA from 1 species
GAUGAACGCUGACGGCGUGCCUAAUACAUGCAAGUCGAGCGAACGGACGAGAAGCUUGCUUCUCUGAUGUUAGCGGCGGACGGGUGAGUAACACGUGGAUAACCUACCUAUAAGACUGGGAUAACUUCGGGAAACCGGAGCUAAUACCGGAUAAUAUUUUGAACCGCAUGGUUCAAAAGUGAAAGACGGUCUUGCUGUCACUUAUAGAUGGAUCCGCGCUGCAUUAGCUAGUUGGUAAGGUAACGGCUUACCAAGGCAACGAUGCAUAGCCGACCUGAGAGGGUGAUCGGCCACACAGGAACUGAGACACGGUCCAGACUCCUACGGGAGGCAGCAGUAGGGAAUCUUCCGCAAUGGGCGAAAGCCUGACGGAGCAACGCCGCGUGAGUGAUGAAGGUCUUCGGAUCGUAAAACUCUGUUAUUAGGGAAGAACAUAUGUGUAAGUAACUGUGCACAUCUUGACGGUACCCAAUCAGAAAGCCACGGCUAACUACGUG